CAACUGAAGAGUUUGAUCAUGGCUCAGAUUGAACGCUGGCGGCAGGCUUAACACAUGCAAGUCGAGCGGAAACGAUUCUAGCUUGCUAGAAGGCGUCGAGCGGCGGACGGGUGAGUAA
rnacentral:rRNA from 1 species